UAAUACGGGGGGGGCCAGCGUUGUUCGGAAUUAUUGGGCGUAAAGGGCGCGUAGGCGGCCCGGUCAGUCAGGCGUGAAAUCCCGCGGCUCAACCGCGGAACUGCGUUUGAAACUGCCAGGCUUGAGUCCCGGAGAGGGUAGCGGAAUUCCUAGUGUAGCGGUGAAAUGCGUAGAUAUUAGGAGGAACACCAGUGGCGAAGGCGGCUACCUGGACGGGUACUGACGCUGAGGCGCGAAAGCGUGGGGAGCAAACAGGAUUAGAUACCCUGGUAGUCCACGCUGUAAACGAUGGGCACUUGGUGUUGCGGGUAUCGACCCCUGCAGUGCCGAAGCUAACGCAUUAAGUGCCCCGCCUGGGGAGUACGGUCGCAAGGCUG
rnacentral:rRNA from 1 species